rnacentral:rRNA from 1 species
AUUGAACGCUGGCGGCAGGCCUAACACAUGCAAGUCGAACGGUAACAGGAAGCAGCUUGCUGCUUCGCUGACGAGUGGCGGACGGGUGAGUAAUGUCUGGGAAGCUGCCUGAUGGAGGGGGAUAACUACUGGAAACGGUAGCUAAUACCGCAUAAUGUCGCCAGACCAAAGAGGGGGAGCUUCGGGCCUCUUUCCAUCGGAUGUGCCCAGAUGGGAGUAGCUUGUUGGUGGGGUAACGGCUCACCAAGGCGACGAUCCCUAGCUGGUCUGAGAGGAUGACCAGCCACCCGGGGACUGAGACACGGUCCAGACUCCUGCGGGAGGCAGCAGUGGGGAAUAUUGCACAAUGGGCGCAAGCCUGAUGCAGCCAUGCCGCGUGUAUGAAGAAGGCCUUCGGGUUGUAAAGUACUUUCAGCGGGGAGGAAGGGAGUAAAGUUAAUACCUUUGCUCAUUGACGUUACCCGCAGAAGAAGCACCGGCUAACUCCGUG